rnacentral:lncRNA from 1 species
UUUUAGGCUUGUUACAAGCGGAAACUAAUACGGAUCUCAGGAGAUCCGAAUAAUCUCACCGAGAUGGACACAGAGACAAACCACGAGAGAAUACAGUGGCUGGAUCGAUCGGAGGCGCGACGACGGCGGCUGGGACGAUGGGGAUCCACCGAGGAAGGAUGCAGCCGGCUGCAACAAGGGGAUCCAGCGGCGGCGGCGGGACCCAGCGGCGGAUGCUCGGCAGAGGUCGCAAGGUCCAGCGGCGGAUGUGGCAGGAUCCAGCGGCGGAUGCUCGGCGGAGGUCGCAAGGUCCAGCGGCGGCGGCUGCCCGGCAUUUCUUCUCUCCCAAACACUAAACGCCGGUGUUUUGAUUCACCUGUAACCUGUUGUGCACGUCAAAAUGCACCCGUAAGUAUUCACGGGUGAAAAUUUUUACAUAGUUUCCAAGCGGGGCCUAAGGGGUGGGAGCACCGUAU